rnacentral:rRNA from 1 species
AAAUUGAAGAGUUUGAUCAUGGCUCAGAUUGAACGCUGGCGGCAGGCCUAACACAUGCAAGUCGAACGGUAACAGGAAACAGCUUGCUGUUUCGCUGACGAGUGGCGGACGGGUGAGUA